rnacentral:rRNA from 1 species
GACAGAGGGUGCGAACGUUGUUCGGAAUUACUGGGCGUAAAGCGCGUGUAGGCGGUGAGGCAAGUCGGAUGUGAAAGCCCAGGGCUCAACCCUGGAAGUGCACUCGAUACUGCCUUGCUGGAGUCCCGGAGAGGAUGGUGGAACUCUCGGUGUAGAGGUGAAAUUCGUAGAUAUCGAGAAGAACACCGGUGGCGAAGGCGGCCAUCUGGACAAAUACUGACACUGAGACACGAAAGCGUGGGGAGCAAACAGG